CCCUUAGAUGUCCUGGGCCGCACGCGCGUUACACUGAUGCAUUCAACGAGCUUAUAACCUUGGCCGAAAGGUCUGGGUAAUCUCCAAAUUUCGUCGUGAUGGGGAUAGAUUAUUGCAAUUAUUAAUCUUCAACGAGGAAUGCCUAGUAAGCGCAAGUCAUCAGCUUGCGUUGAUUACGUCCCUGCCCUUUGUACACACCGCCCGUCGCUCCUACCGAUUGAAUGGUCCGGUGAAGCGUUCGGACCGUGGCCUUUGGACGGUUCGCCGUCUGUUGGCUGCGGGAAGUUCGUUAAACCUUAUCAUUUAGAGGAAGGAGAAGUCGUAACA
rnacentral:rRNA from 1 species